CGCGAGAAACAUUUAUUUUCGUUAAGAUCUCUCGGAAAUAAAUUCACCCGAUUCGUUCUAUCGCUUGGCCUUGACAACACCCGUUUAGAAGAUAUCGUCAGUAGAUCGAAAUUGCGUUUAUCGAAGUAUACGUUCCGAAGCUUCGUCACGGAAUUCGUAUUAUGGCGCCUUUUUGAUUUUUGAAUUUCCCGCAAAUUCGUGUCACAUCGUUUGACUCUUCCCAAGAGACGAUCGUUGAAUUUGUUGCUUUUCAAAGUACAUUUUGCAAUGAAAUAUAAAUAAUAGGAAAGUGUCGUUCAUUUAGAUAUAAAGAAACAAUUACAGAUGGAAGGUUAAAUUCUUGGUGCGUCGCAAGAAAAAGAAUGAUGCGUGGCGGAUAAAGAGGGGAAAGGGGGAGGAAGAGAGGAAGUGUAGAUCUUAGUUCGUCGUUUGCUACCAAUGAUACGGCAUUGAUCAGGGUUCCUGAUCUAUUCAGAUUUACAGAUAAGAUUCGCUCGUGAUAUGGCUAUUUGGCACACUGCUUUCCCACAUAUACGACAUUAAAAUGUCCCCGAAGCAUAGAGUAGGAUCAAAACCAGAGUACCCUUGUAAUUUAUUACUGGACGUUGCUAAAGAAGCUUAAAAGAAAAAGUUCGAUUACUUCAAUAUGAUGUCGUAAUAUAACGUAAGAUAGAAACGAGUCACCCUGUAUACGAGGAUGCACUCGGUAAACGUUAUUUAAAUGCAAAAGCGAAGUGGCGAGUUACUUGGAACGAAAUUGAGGUAGUAUUUGAGGUUAACUAGCUUUACGGUGGAGAAAUGGACGGUCAGCAUCUUUAACGAGAUCACUCGGCUCUUCUGUACGUAUAAUUGGAGUCGUGUUAUUUAUUUAUCAUUUUUUCUUCGUUUUUGCUUUUUUUUUAUUUCUUUUUUUUGUUUUUUUUUUUUUUUUUUUUUUUUUUUUUUUUUAUAUUUUUAUAUCGAACGAACGAACGAACGAACGAACGAACGAACGAGAACGUUUUUCUAACGGAAAAUGCCAAGCUAAUUAUCGACCAUGCAAAGCGUUUGGGAAACGAAGUCACGCGAAUUCAACAUGGACGACGAUGGACGACGCAGUGGAAGCUCGUUGGUUGAUUCGACUCGACUUCCUGACAACUCAUGCAUCCGGCAUAGCAGCAUGUGUUGAAAGUCAUAUAACGGUACGACAAAUGUCGUGAAUCGAAUCCAAAUACGUUAUAUACAAGGGGAAAAGGAAGUUACGUGUAUAUCGAGCGAUGAACGUAACGAACCGAGUAAGCCAGACUACAAGACCAUACGGAAAAAGGUUUUCUACCCUCGAAAAGUUUCAUUUAUCACGAGAAGGAGGAGACGAAGACGAAGAGAAGGAUGAGAAGCAUAAGAAGCAGAAGAUAUCCUCUUUCUCCUCGAGCAGUAAGAACUCGAGCAGUACCGUUCAUAUUAGUCCGAGGGAAAAAAUUCAAUCUAAAUGGGAACGAUUGGCACACGUACGAUAAACAGAGCGUGAUUGACGUACGUGAUUCCAGUUCCUUCUAUAUCCCUCUGGCCAUUUCUGGGGACCACCAAUACAUUCAAACGCCGAGAGAAAAACGGAAUUGUUAGCAUUAUCCUGUUUAUUUAUUUCCCUAGAUCUAUCACAAAAAAGUUGUAUCACAAUUUCAUUUAGUUUUCUAAUUAUUUUUAGGCGCAAGAAAGUACGAUGUAUGAAAAAAUAAUAUAUAUAUAUAUAUAUAUAUGUGCACACGCACACACAGAAUAUAUAGAUAUUCUUGGAUCAUGCGAAGCAUAGAUCAUAGAUUACAUAAAGCGUAUCAUUUCUUUUUCCUAUACAUUUCUUUUCCCAUUUAUCUGCUACGUUUGCCUUUCCACAUAUAAAAAGAAUGAAAAGGUAAAACGUAUAAAAGUUUCUCAUGUGGACAGAAUAGUCAACGUGCAAUUAGAUUCAAGGCAUUUAUUCUAUUAAUAAAGAAAUUAGUCACGUGUUACGACUGCAUUUGAAACGACGCGUUUUCCAAUAUUCAAAAGCUUCGGCUAGUGCGUGCCCCUUGGCACGAUCGAAUGUAUAUGUGUAUAUAUAUAUAUAUAUAUAUCUCGAAAUAAGUACACGGAUGGAGAGAGGGAGAGAAAGAGAAAGGUUUCAAGCCCUCUCUCAACCUUAGUGACUAUCAUAUCGGGGAAAAAUAAACGGAGCGUGUACGAAGAAACGAUUGUGUGGAUAUAUCUACUAAACGCUUCUUCAGAUUCGCGAAAAGACCGAAAAGCGCUGUCAACAAAACAAUAACUAAACAAUACCGUCUUCUCAUUCACGUUCAGUUAUAUCUUCCGAUGCAAGCUACAUGUGUAUUUUUAUAAAAAUCGAAGAGAGAACCUUUCCAUUUUAUUCUCCUUUUAAGAUGUCAUGCGUUUGCAAAAUACAUCGUGUGUAUAUAUAUAUAUAUAUAUGUAUGUAUAUAUCAUAGAUUAUAUAUCAUCGCCAUUAGAAAAGCAUAGAAAAAAGUUAAUAUAUCUGUCUGUAUAAGAAAAUAAAGGUCGAACGAAUCGAAAUAUAUUUUAUAGAUGGAGACGUUCGUUAUUAGAUCGAAACGGCCACUCCUUUAAAUUUGAAUUUAAUCUUCUCCACUUGUUCGCGAAUCGUUAAGUCUUACGAGACUUAAAUUAGCUUCCAGUCGAUACACACAUAUCGUUGUCGUUCUCUUCUAUAGUUUCGAAAGGUCACUUUCCUUUGUUAGCAACUAUUCCAUGUUAACGUUCUAUAGAUCGUUCUCGAAAUUGUUCGUCGAUAUAUUCUCGUUUUUAAAUCAUACACAUUUUUUCCUUCAUUACGUACAAAUAGAAUAUAACCUACAUUUGAAUAUCUUUGUUCAAAACGUACAUAUAUUUAAAUGUCAAAGGAUAACCUUUCGAUCUUAUUGUUUAUACUACGUUGAAGUAUUCAAGCGAGAGAAACGACGUAUCGAUCUAUUUCCGUUCGCAAGACUAAUCUAUAUAUAGCUAUAGAUAAACACACACACACACACACACACAUAUUUAUAAUGCCAUUUUUUUCGUUUCGCUGGGCCAAGACAGAGAUAAGAAAAUUAUCGAUAUAAAGCCGAGGGAAGAAAAGAUUUAAUAAGAUAUAUGAAUCAUCGACGGAUUUUUAGGUAAAAAAUUUAACGAAGAAAUCCAAGAUCUUAAUAAUUUGCGACCAUUCGAGUUUAUAAUAAAAUAUGAGGGAAGAUGAGGUAAGUUCGAUCUUACUCGAUUGGCAACAAUGAGGCGGAAAAAUUCAAAUUACGAUCAACGAUAUCAAAAAAA